UACAGAGGUGGCAAGCGUUGUUCGGAAUUACUGGGCGUAAAGGGCGCGUAGGCGGUCUUGUCAGGUCCCUUGUGAAAUCCCCCGGCUCAACUGGGGAACUGCAAGGGAAACAGCAGGGCUUGAGUUCGGGAGAGGGAAGCGGAAUUCCGGGUGAUAGCGGUGAAAUGCGUAGAUAUCCGGAGGAACACCGGUGGCGAAGGCGGCUUCCUGGACCGAUACUGACGCUGAGGCGCGAAAGCUAGGGGAGCAAACGGG
rnacentral:rRNA from 1 species